rnacentral:rRNA from 1 species
AAAGGAGACUUCGGUCUCUGAGUACAGUGGCGCACGGGUGCGUAACACGUAAGUAAUCUACCCCGAACUCCGGGAUAACCCUCCGAAAGGAGGGCUAACACUGGAUAGGGUCCCCGAGGUGUAGGCUGCGGGGGGAAAACGGGCCUCUGUUCCAUGCUCGUGGUUUGGGAUGAGCUUGCGUCCCAUUAGCUUGUUGGUAGGGUAACGGCUUACCAAGGCGACGAUGGGUAGCUGGUCUGAGAGGAUGAUCAGCCACACUGGCACUGAGACACGGGCCAGACUCCUACGGGAGGCAGCAGUGGGGAAUUUUGCGCAAUGGGCGAAAGCCUGACGCAGUAACGCCGCGUGGAGGAUGAAGGCCUUCGGG